rnacentral:rRNA from 1 species
AUACGGAGGAUGCGAGCGUUAUCCGGAUUUAUUGGGUUUAAAGGGAGCGUAGGCGGGAGCUUAAGUCAGCGGUUAAAUGGUGCGGCUCAACCGUGCCCUGCCGUUGAAACUGGGUUUCUUGAGAGUGCAAGAGGCGGAUGGAAUUCAUGGUGUAGCGGGGGAAUGCUUAGAUAUCAUGAAGAACUCCGAUUGCGAAGGCAGUCCGCUGGGGCACGUCUGACGCUGAUGCUCGAAGGUGCGGGAAUCAAACAGGAUUAGAUACCCUGGUAGUCCGCACGGUAAACGAUGAUUACCCGCUGUCGGCGGCAGACAGUCGGCGGCCAAGCGAAAGCGAUAAGUAAUCCACCUGGGGAGUACGCCGGCAACGGUGAAACUCAAAGGAAUUGACGGGG